rnacentral:rRNA from 1 species
CUGAGAGGUUUAUCCCCCACACUGGUACUGAGACACGGACCAGACUCCUACGGGAGGCAGCAGUGAGGAAUAUUGGUCAAUGGGCGAGAGCCUGAACCAGCCAAGUCGCGUGAAGGAAGACUGUCCUAAGGAUUGUAAACUUCUUUUAUACGGGAAUAACGGGCGAUACGCGUAUUGCUGUGAAUGUACCGUAAGAAUAAGCAUCGGCUAACUCCGUGCCAGCAGCCGCGGUAAUACGGAGGAUGCGAGCGUUAUCCGGAUUUAUUGGGUUUAAAGGGUGCGUAGGUUGUUCGGUAAGUCAGCGGUGAAAACUGAGCGCUCAACGUUCAGCGUGCCGUUGAAACUGCCGGGCUUGAGUUCAGAGGCGGCAGGCGGAAUUCGUGGUGUAGCGGUGAAAUGCAUAGAUAUCACGAGGAACUCCGAUUGCGAAGGCAGCUUGCCAUACUGCGACUGACACUGAAGCACGAAGGCGUGGGUAUCAAACAGGAUUAGAUACCCUGGUAGUCCACGCAGUAAACGAUGAUUACUAGGAGUUUGCGAUAUACCGUCAAGCUUCCACAGCGAAAGCGUUAAGUAAUCCACCUGGGGAGUACGCCGGCAACGGUGAAACUCAAAGGAAUUGACGGGGGCCCGCACAAGCGGAGGAACAUGUGGUUUAAUUCGAUGAUACGCGAGGAACCUUACCCGGGAUUGAAAUGUAGACGACGGAUGGUGAAAGCCGUCUUCCCUUCGGGGCGUCUAUGUAGGUGCUGCAUGGUUGUCGUCAGCUCGUGCCGUGAGGUGUCGGCUUAAGUGCCAUAACGAGCGCAACCCACAUCGGUAGUUGCUAACAGGUUUAGCUGAGGACUCUACCGAGACUGCCGUCGUAAGGCGUGAGGAAGGUGUGGAUGACGUCAAAUCAGCACGGCCCUUACAUCCGGGGCGACACACGUGUUACAAUGGGAGGGACAAAGGGCAGCUACCGGGCGACCGGAUGCGAAUCUCGAAACCCUUCCCCAGUUCGGAUCGGAGUCUGCAACUCGACUCCGUGAAGCUGGAUUCGCUAGUAAUCGCGCAUCAGCCAUGGCGCGGUGAAUACGUUCCCGGGCCUUGUACACACCGCCCGUCAAGCCAUGGGAGUCGGGGGUACCUGAAGGGCGUAACCGCAAGGG